rnacentral:sRNA from 1 species
AGCAUCCUCCUGGGGUGGGAGAUGUCUACAGGGAAGACACCAGCGUUUGGGCUCCUCACAAUGACCCUGUCUCCAGCUGCGCUGCACGCACUGACAGGGAGCUGGGAAAGGUGGAGGAGAUGCUGAGCCCAGUGAAUCCUCUCCAUCGAAGGAUUCAGGAAGAAGAAAACUCAUCUCAGCGCCAUUUUACAUAUAUAUGUGUUUAUACUUCCUUGUCUAUUAUAUCUACACAUUAUAUAUGAUUUGUAUUUUGACAUCGUACCUUGCAUAAACAAAAUAAAAUAUCUA